GUCGCUUCGGCGGCACAUGUACUAAAAUUGGAAAGAUACAGAGAAGAUUAGCAUGGCUCCUGCGCAAGGAUGACACGAAAAAUCAUGAAGCGUUAUAGUUUUAA